UACGUAGGGUGCGAGCGUUAAUCGGAGUUACUGGGCGUAAAGCGUGCGCAGGCGGUUGUGCAAGACCGAUGUGAAAUCCCCGGGCUUAACCUGGGAAUGGCAUUGGUGACUGUACGGCUAGAGUGUGUCAGAGGGGGGUAGAAUUCCACGUGUAGCAGUGAAAUGCGUAGAGAUGUGGAGGAAUACCGAUGGCGAAGGCGGCCUGCUGGGCAGUUACUGACACUGAUGCGCGACAGCGUGGGGAGCAAACAGG
rnacentral:rRNA from 1 species